rnacentral:rRNA from 1 species
GACGAACGCUGGCGGCGUGCUUAACACAUGCAAGUCGAGCGGUAAGGCCCUUUCGGGGGUACACGAGCGGCGAACGGGUGAGUAACACGUGGGUGACCUGCCCUCAGCUCUGGGAUAAGCCUGGGAAACCGGGUCUAAUACUGGAUAUGACUCCAUGACGCAUGUUGUGGGGUGGAAAGCCUUGUGCGGCUGAGGAUGGGCCCGCGGCCUAUCAGCUUGUUGGUGGGGUGAUGGCCUACCAAGGCGACGACGGUAGCCGGCCUGAGAGGGCGACCGGCCACACUGGGACUGAGACACGGCCCAGACUCCUACGGGAGGCAGCAGUGGGGAAUCUUGCGCAAUGGGCGAAAGCCUGACGCAGCGACGCCGCGUGAGGAUGAC